CAGUAGCCGCGGGAAUACGUAGGUGGCAAGCGUUGUCCGGAAUUAUUGGGCGUAAAGGGCUCGCAGGCGGUUUCUUAAGUCUGAUGUGAAAGCCCCCGGCUCAACCGGGGAGGGUCAUUGGAAACUGGGAAACUUGAGUGCAGAAGAGGAGAGUGGAAUUCCACGUGUGGCGGUGAAAUGCGUAGAGAUGUGGAGGAACACCAGUGGCGAAGGCGACUCUCUGGUCUGUAACUGACGCUGAGGAGCGAAAGCGUGGGUAGCGAACAGGAUUAGAUACCCGUGUAGUCCCUGUCUCUUAUAC
rnacentral:rRNA from 1 species